rfam:Bombyx mori DNA, contig: Bm_scaf104_contig36492, strain: p50T/Dazao, build 2, whole genome shotgun sequence.
UUAACUCAAAUUUGUAUGAAGUUGAAAUGUUUGUCUACGUUCGCCGCUUGGGGCGCUGUUCCAACUGCAUACCAAUUUGAGUUA